ACUUGGAAAAGUCAGUCAAAGAGGGUAAAAACCCCGUAGACGAAAUGUGGAAGACACCUAGGAGGAUCCUGAGUACGGCGGAACACGAGAAAUUCCGUCGGAAUCCGGGAGGACCAUCUCCCAAGGCUAAAUACUCCCUAGUGACCGAUAGUGAACCAGUACCGUGAGGGAAAGGUGAAAAGCACCCCGGAAGGGGAGUGAAAUAGAACCUGAAACCGUGUGCCUACAACAAGUCAAAGCCCGUUAAUGGGUGAUGGCGUGCCUUUUGUAGAAUGAACCGGCGAGUUACGAUUGCAUGCGAGGUUAAGUUGAAGAGACGGAGCCGCAGCGAAAGCGAGUCUGAAUAGGGCGUUUGAGUAUGUAGUCGUAGACCCGAAACCAUGUGAUCUACCCAUGUCCAGGUUGAAGGUGCGGUAAAACGCACUGGAGGACCGAACCCACGUACGUUGAAAAGUGCGGGGAUGAGGUGUGGGUAGCGGAGAAAUUCCAAACGAACUUGGAGAUAGCUGGUUCUCUCCGAAAUAGCUUUAGGGCUAGCCUCGGAAUUGAGAAUGAUGGAGGUAGAGCACUGUUUGGACUAGGGGCCCAUCUCGGGUUACCGAAUUCAGAUAAACUCCGAAUGCCAUUCAUUCAUAUCCGGGAGUCAGACUGUGAGUGAUAAGAUCCAUAGUCGAAAGGGAAACAGCCCAGACCACCAGCUAAGGUCCCAAAAUAUAUGUUAAGUGGAAAAGGAUGUGGGGUUGCACAGACAACUAGG
rnacentral:rRNA from 1 species